rnacentral:rRNA from 1 species
AAACCAACAGGGAUUGCCUUAGUAGCGGCGAGUGAAGCGGCAAGAGCUCAAAUUUGAAAUCUGGUACCUUCGGUGCCCGAGUUGUAAUUUGAAGAAAGUAAUCUUGGAGGUGGCCUUUGUCUAUGUUCCUUGGAACAGGACGUCAUGGAGGGUGAGAAUCCCGUGUGAUGAGGUGUCCAUUUCCGUGUAAGAUGCUUUCGAAGAGUCGAGUUGUUUGGGAAUGCAGCUCAAAGUGGGUGGUAAAUUCCAUCUAAAGCUAAAUAUUGGCGAGAGACCGAUAGCGAACAAGUACUGUGAAGGAAAGAUGAAAAGAACUUUGAAAAGAGAGUGAAAAAGUACGUGAAAUUGUUGAAAGGGAAGGGUAUUUGAUCAGACUUGGUAUUUAGCUAUCAUUGCUCCUUGUGGGUGGUGCUCUAGCUUUUUACUGGGCCAGCAUCAGUUCUGGUGGCAAGAUAAUGACAGUUGAAUGUGGCUCCUCGGAGUGUUAUAGCUUCUGUUGAUGUUGCCUACCGGGACUGAGGUCUGCGGCUUUUGCCUAGGAUGCUGGCGUAAUGAUCCAAUACCGCCCGUCUUGAAACAUGGAC